rnacentral:rRNA from 1 species
AGAUUAAGUUAUUAAGGGCGCACGGUGGAUGCCUUGGCACUAGAAGCCGAUGAAGGACGUUACUAACGACGAUAUGCUUUGGGGAGCUGUAAGUAAGCUUUGAUCCAGAGAUUUCCGAAUGGGGAAACCCAGCAUGAGUUAUGUCAUGUUAUCGAUAUGUGAAUACAUAGCAUAUCAGAAGGCACACCCGGAGAACUGAAACAUCUUAGUACCCGGAGGAAGAGAAAGAAAAUUCGAUUCCCUUAGUAGCGGCGAGCGAAACGGGAAGAGCCCAAACCAAAAAGCUUGCUUGUUGGGGUUGUAGGACACUCUAUACGGAGUUACAAAGGACGACAUUAGACGAAUCAUCUGGAAAGAUGAAUCAAAGAAGGUAAUAAUCCUGUAGUCGAAAAUGUUGUCUCUCUUGAGUGGAUCCUGAGUACGACGGAGCACGUGAAAUUCCGUCGGAAUCUGGGAGGACCAUCUCCUAAGGCUAAAUACUCUCUAGUGACCGAUAGUGAACCAGUACCGUGAGGGAAAGGUGAAAAGCACCCCGGAAGGAGAGUGAAAUAGAACCUGAAACCGUGUGCUUACAAGUAGUCAGAGCCCGUUAAUGGGUGAUGGCGUGCCUUUUGUAGAAUGAACCGGCGAGUUACGAUUUGAUGCAAGGUUAAGCAGUAAAUGUGGAGCCGUAGCGAAAGCGAGUCUGAAUAGGGCGUUUAGUAUUUGGUCGUAGACCCGAAACCAGGUGAUCUACCCUUGGUCAGGUUGAAGUUCAGGUAACACUGAAUGGAGGACCGAACCGACUUACGUUGAAAAGUGAGCGGAUGAACUGAGGGUAGCGGAGAAAUUCCAAUCGAACCUGGAGAUAGCUGGUUCUCUCCGAAAUAGCUUUAGGGCUAGCCUCAAGUGAUGAUUAUUGGAGGUAGAGCACUGUUUGGACGAGGGGCCCCUCUCGGGUUACCGAAUUCAGACAAACUCCGAAUGCCAAUUAAUUUAACUUGGGAGUCAGAACAUGGGUGAUAAGGUCCGUGUUCG